AAGGGCUCAAAGUACUUUAAAUGUGUUCAGCCGGUCAGUAUAAAAGCUGAGCUAGAUUUCAGACAGUAGUUUUAUCUACAGGGAGGGAUUCAGACAGUUUGCUGCUGAAGAGAUGGACAUACAUCAGUUUUAUCAACUAAAUAUCUGUGCAGAUGAAUCCCUUACUCUCUCCAACAAGACAACUUGAGGGUUCUCCACUUCUGGCAGAGGCCCAAUCAAUUCCCAUUCACCACCACCCUGUUCCACCUGGCUGACUUGUUCUCACAUUGAACUUUUGAUUCCACUCACUUAUCCAAAUAAAGAGUGUUGCUAUGGGAACCCUUAUGGGUCCUAGCUAUGCC